rnacentral:rRNA from 1 species
AUCCUUUGUUGCCAGCGAUUCGGUCGGGAACUCAAAGGAGACUGGCGGUGAUAAACCGGAGGAAGGGGGGGAUGACGUCAAGUCAUCAUGGCCCUUACGAGUAGGGCUACACACGUGCUACAAUGGGGCAUACAAAGAGAAGCGACCUCGCGAGAGCAAGCGGACCUCACAAAGUGCGUCGUAGUCCGGGUCGGAGUCUGCAACUCGACUC